AGUUAUUAUGGAGGAAGCCUGAUACUGUAGAAGACGGAAGUUUUGUGCCUGAGAUACCAGUCUUUAACUGUGGAGAUAUUGAAGUGCCCACGAGAGGACAAACCAUUGAUGACUUUCAAGACAUUUCGUCAGAACAGACUGUUCCUAUGUAUACCAAGCACUAAGGACAACAGUGAGAGAUGUGUAUUGGGAUGUUGCAGUGUAAGAGAAUGAAAAAAACUGUACUCAGUUACUGUGCCAGGUGCCAUAUAAUCUAAUU